UGCGUAGGCGGCUUGGUAAGUCAGAUGUGAAAUCCUGGGGCUCAACCUCGGAACUGCAUUUGAUACUGCCAGGCUAGAGUACUGGAGAGGAGACUGGAAUUUACGGUGUAGCAGUGAAAUGCGUAGAUAUCGUAAGGAAGGCCAGUGGCGAAGGCGAGUCUCUGGACAGUAACUGACGCUGAGGCACGAAGGCUAGGGGAGCAAAACGG
rnacentral:rRNA from 1 species